rnacentral:lncRNA from 1 species
CAACCGGAAAAAAUCGAACCAAACCAAAUCGAAAUUUUUUUAUUAAACGUAUUGUUUUAUCAUUUUAAAUUAUAAAAACGAACUGAAAUUUUUUUUUUUUUGUCACCGAACCAAUCUGAGAUGGAGAAAAUUUGUUUUAAAAGUAUAUUUUUCUAGAAGGUUUGUUUUGAGACUUUGUAUGGUUUAAGAGCUCAAAUUAUAUUAAAAAAAACUAUAACAAAUAAAUUUGAACAAUCAGAAAUUACGGUCCAUUAUGUAAAUCAUCUCCUUCAU